CCGACUACAGCCGCCAUGGGGACGCCGCUGCCGCCAUGGGAACCUUGGACGCGGCCGUCUCCGGCCCGGACGCGGUGCCCGACCUCCGCCUCGCCGCGCACCAGUACAACCAGCUCCUCCACCUGCUCGCCUCCGCUGACUGCGCCGUCUUCCCCGUCCACCCGGCCGCCGCCGCGCGCCGCAUGUUCGCCGGCAUGCUAGAGGCCAGGGCACCCCCGUCCGAGGCCACCAUCACUUCGCUCGCCUGCAUCGUCGCUGCAGAUGCCCAGGGCGCCUACGAAGCCUUCAGGCUCCUCUCCUCCAUGCGGCAGAAGUACGGCCUCGCGCUGCGCCUCCGGUCCUACAGCCCCGUGCUUGCCGCGUUCCGGCGCGCCGGGGAGGCUGGCAAGGCAUACGCGGUCGAGGCCCACAUGGCGGCCUCCGCUGCAUCGCUGUAAGAUCCCGAGCUCGCGCCGCUCCUUGUGGUCAGCGCGAAGGCCAGGGACGCAGACAAGGCGUUUGAGUAUAUGCACAAGCUGGGUGCCAAAGCCUGAAGGGGUGCCGAGAAGUGCAUCGAGCUAGAUCCUACAUUCUCCAAGGGAUACAUCAGGAAAGGCACAAACCAGUUUUUCAUGAAAGAGUAUGACAAAGCAAUGGAAACUUAUCAGGAAGGCCUAAAGCAUGACCCGAGUAACCAGGAGCUGCUUGAUGGUGUAAAGAGAUAUAUUCAGCAGAUCAACAAGGCGAACAGAGGCAAACUUUACCCCAGAGGAACUGAAAGAGAGACAGGGCAAAGCUAUGCAGGACCCUGAAAUCCAGAACAUCCUGACGGACCAUGUGAUGCGGCAGGUGUUGAUUGAUUUCCAGGAGAAUCCAAGGGCUGCUCAGGACGUCUCGGGAGCAUGAACGCAACGGCGGUCGGGCUUGGGCAUCAUUGGGUUCAGUGAUUGCAGACGUGGCCAUUCGUCCCCGAUGGAUCUCCGCCACCACGGCCUGAGAGAGCCUAGAGAAGGGAGGCUACGGACGAGCACCUGUAGGACAACCUGCCAUCACGGCCAAUGCUUGUCGACUCCGACAACAUCCAUGUGGUCAUAGUCGAAUCCUCCUGUCCUCUCGCGCCGUGUAUAUUCAGACUUAUUUGCGUGCGUCGUAGGUUGUAUGAACAUGGAGGUGCAGAAGCUCCAUCACCUACCUCUACCUCCUCCACUACGCUGACAAGACAAAACACUAGCGAUGGUGCAAACAGAAGAUAGGUUUGAAAUAUAACCAAAUUGCAAUGGUCACGUGUUUGGAAGUGCAGGUCGAGGACUCAAGGUGGGAUUGCGAGUGGAAAGAACACUUUGGCUGUGCGUUGCGAGUGGAAAGAAUACCAUGAUGUUGCGAGUGGACUCGAGGAAGUGCACGGGCCAAGAUAAGUGAGCGUACAUCCCCUUUUAGUCCAGAUUUAGAAAAAUAUGAUUUCUGCUAUUAUAGUUUCCAGAAUAGUUUGGCCCUUGAGACACUUCCACUGUAUGCAUGUGUGUUCCUUUUUUUCCAGAGAUAUGCAUGUCUAUUGAUUAUUACUGGAAUUGGUUCGACAAACUAUUUAUGUGACAAAUUUACAAAUAUACUGACCCGGCCUGAUAAUAUGACUAAUCCAUACAGUGGAUAUGUGCCAAUGCUCAAAUUUGAAAAAUGAAGGAUUCAACUUUUUUUGAAAUAUUAUGGGUGAAGUCGCGAGUAUGCCCAUCAAUCAUAAAAAUAUAUAGUUCGACUUAGUCAUAGGUUUUGUAGUAGUCUUGCCUUGCCGCUGCCUCUCCUCUCUGCUCCUUGCUGCCUGUGGCUGUCCCAUCUCUCUUAGCGAUGUUGCUGCUGCACUUCUUCUGAAGCUCUUCUCAAACCCGUUGCUGCAGUUCUCCUCUGAACUCCAACUUGUUGCCUCUCUCUCUCUCUCUCAAUUUUUCUGUAAUUCUAUGAACCACUCUCUCUCUCUCUCUCUCUCUCUCAAUUUCUCUGUAAUUCUGUGAACCAUUACUGUGCGUAAAUAUGAUUUGUGGUAUUUGCUUGAGUGAACCUGUAAGGUUUGUACGUUCUGCAAAGUGCUAGCACCUACAUAUUAUCCGACAUUUUCUUCUAAAUGUCAAGAGGCAUGAGCCACAAAUUUUCUCAAGAAUGACCCUUGGUAUAUAUAAGGCAUGCAUUCAAUUUUAAUAAUACUCUUUUGGCUCUCAUUUAUCUGUUGCCAUAGAGCAUCAUAUAAUAUAGAAGAGUCAAUCAAACAUAGCUCUUUGAAUAUCAGACAAAAUAUUGGUUGCCUGAUUUAUUUAUAAGAAGAUUCUUCUAUGUAUUUAGUUACAUGGUUUUAAUUUGAUCGUCUUCUUUCAACUUUUUUUUGCUGACUAUGAUAUUUCCUUAGGUUCACCUUGACCUUCACUGCCCGUGUAAGAGCUUAAGUAAAUUGAUGUUGUAUCAUCAGAAUUUGUAGCCCUGCACAUUUUUUUGUCUAUACAUACACUUCAAUUUCUUGCUUGCACUGAAAUCCCUCUUUGUCACAAGAUGAGUCAGAAACUGAAGAUGAUGAUCCCUUGGACACAGAAGAAGCUUCCUCUGUCCUCAUCGCUGCACUGCAGUCUUUCGGCCAAGCUCUGGUGAAUGACGACGAAGAAAAAGAUAUCGUGACAGAGGUAGAUGUCUUCUUGCGUCCUACCCUAAAUGACAUGGGCUCUCCUAUCAGCAAAAUAGCUACUCUGGAGGCGCAGAUGACGAUCACAAGAGACCGUAUCUUGAGGAUAAGUGAAUGACUAUGAGGUCUACAUGUUAAGUAUAGAAACCUGACAUGGACAAGUGUGCGCUUUGCUGCCACUUCUUUGCCAGCCGGAGUGGCCUAUUUUCCGUGACGAUCAUGGAUCAUGGUGUACAUGCGUGUAUAUGUUGUGUCCUGAUAGACUGUACUACAAGAUUUUCUUGGAAUGGUUUGGUACUUCUGUUUUAUUAUGCUAUGAAGAGUGUAUCUGUA